GACGAACGCUGGCGGCGUGCUUAACACAUGCAAGUCGAACGGAAAGGCUCCAGCUUGCUGGAGUACUCGAGUGGCGAACGGGUGAGUAACACGUGGGUAAUCUGCCCUGCACUCUGGGAUAAGCCUGGGAAACUGGGUCUAAUACUGGAUAUGACCUUUCUCCUUAUGGGGUUUGGUGGAAAGUUUUUCGGUGUAGGAUGAGCCCGCGGCCUAUCAGCUUGUUGGUGGGGUGAUGGCCUACCAAGGCGACGACGGGUAGCCGGCCUGAGAGGGUGAUCGGCCACAUUGGGACUGAGAGACGGCCCAGACUCCUACGGGAGGCAGCAGUGGGGAAUAUUGCACAAUGGGCGGAAGCCUGAUGCAGCGACGCCGCGUGAGGGAUGACGGCCUUCGGGUUGUAAACCUCUUUCAGCAGGGACGAAGCGUAAGUGACGGUACCUGCAGAAGAAGCACCGGCUAACUAUGUG
rnacentral:rRNA from 1 species